AGUCGGAGCUGACCAAUUUGGCGGGGUUAUACAGAGAUGAGCGACUGCGGCAGAAAGCAGAGUCACUGAAACUCGAAAACUGUGCAAAGCUUUCCAAGCUCAUUGGCCUGCGCAGGGCCGGCUGAGAGGCCAGCGACCCUACUCUGGGUGGGGGGUUCUUACCCGUUACAAUUGCAUUGCAAAUCCCAUUUUAUAAUACAAGUUAGGAGAUAUGAGCACUUUACUCUCUGCUGACUUUGUUGGGCAGAGCUGCAGUGAUUGGAGACUUGUCCCCUCCAGUCCUUCCCCAGGCCUGGCUCCCAGGGCAGAACAGUUGGUCUUAGUCACAGGCAUGGUAAAGUUUGGACCCAACUCCUCUGUGAAGUAGGUCAGGGCAUUCCAGAGACGACCCAUGUUUCGUCCUUCAUCCUGUCUGCAGCAAAAGCCCACUACCUAGGCAUGUCUAGGCUUAGCCAGUGCACUGCAGAGUAUUGGUGGUGUCUGCCAAGAAUUAUACCUCUCCUGCUGUAAAGUCACCACCUCCCCUGAUUUUCAGUUUUCCACUCCCUAAGGACUGUAGAGAAAUUGAACUACGUAGCCAACAGUUCAGUGUUAUCCAAAUCUCUGUUGAGUUAGGACCAUAAGCAAAGCUGCCUGAUUUGAGGUUUCUUUUUUUGAGAGAAGGGCUCACUCUGCAGCCCAGACCAGUCUGGAACUCACUACCUAGUCCAAGCUGGCCUGAGUCUGCAGUGAUUCUCCUGCCUGAGCCUCUUGAGAGCUGUGAUUUCAGUUGUGAGCCACCAUAGGUGAGGCUCCUUUAUUGUCUUAGUCUUCUCUUUCAGAAGGUCUAAGAAGUAAAACCUGGUUGAGCAGGCUGGGUUUGGUGGCCUACAUCUUUAAUCUUAGGACUCAGGAGGCACAAGCAGGCCAUUCUCUCUUAGUUCAAGGCCAGCCUGGGUUACAUAUCAGUUCCAGACCAGCCAAAGUUACAUAAUGAGACCUUGCCUCAAACAAACAAACAAACAAACAAGCAAAAAAACCUGCUGGGCUUGGAGACAGCUCAGUGAACAGUCCAGCAGCAGGUAGCAGGGCUAAGGGAGAAGGUGAAAUCUAAGACUGUCAGCUCUUCACUGUAGAUCCCCUGGUCCAUUUCUGAACUGGAGAACACUCUCUGUGUCCCUCCCUUUAAAUCAUCAUUUAGUGUUAACGGUUGUAUGAUGAGCACAGGAAUGCACAGAAGGGCAGGAGCCAAACUGGAGAGGAGACACAGGCACAGAGACACAGAGGGAAGAGUCUGUCACCGUGGCAUGGGAGGCUCAGAGUUAGCAGCCAUUUUGUCUGGCUGAGUGCCCUGCACAUUUUAGUGUGAGAUAGUGAUGUGACCUUUCACCCAUUCAAUAUUUAUGAAGUGCCUACUGCAAAGAGGCCUUUCAAACUCACGUGGUGUUCUGUUUUAUUUUGUUUUUUCACUUAUUCCUCAUAACAGUUUGUGAAACCGGUAUGUUAGCCCUUUUAUGAAUUGGCCAGAGAGGAUGAGUGGUCGGCCUAGGUCAUAUGUCUAGGUGAGGAAAGACUGUGUGUGAGAAGUCAUCCUUUUUCUCGGGUGAUUCUAGCCAGUUUGGCAAAGCAGACUUACCCAUCCUCCAGGACACCUCCGCCCCCACCUCGCAUCCUUUCCAGGCCAUCCUGAGUCCCUACAGGGCUGCUUCCCUGCUGGGCGUUUAGAAGCAGGAUCAGGGCUGGAGAGAGGCUGGGCAGUUAGAAGAGCACUGGCUUCUCUUCCAGAGGACUCAGGUUCAAUUCCCCGCACCCACCUGGUGGCUCCCAACAUUCUGUAACUCCAGUUCCAGGGGACCUGACCCUCUUUGGCCUCCACAGGCAUUGCCUGCACCUGGUGCACGGACACACAUGCAGGCAGUGUAACACCCACAUACAUUUUUUUUUUUUAAAGCAGGACACUUGAUUCAAAUCCUUUAGAGGCAGAAAAAGCAACUCUUUCUAGAACUAAGUCAAGGAUUGCCUAGGCUGUGUGGUUGGGCCUUCCUGUGGAGGUCGGAUUUAGAUUUGAGUUCCUGAGCUGCCCAGAUUAUCAUGAAACUGAAUUUAAAAGAAGCCGGUAACUGAUUUAUAGUCUUUUUUUUUUUUCUUUUUUUUUUUUUUUUAGGUAGGGUCUCAUGUAGCCCAGGCUGGCCUCAAAAUUCAUAUACAGUCAAAAACCUUGAACAACUUCUUGAUUGUUUGGGUUUUGUUGUUUUGUUUUAAAUUUUUAAUUUUAUGUAGCCCUGGCUGUCCUGGAACUCACUGUAGACCAGGCUGAUGUUGAACUCAGAGAUCUGCCUGCCUCUGCUUCCUGAGUGACGGGAUUAAAGGCAUUUACC
rnacentral:lncRNA from 1 species